rnacentral:rRNA from 1 species
GGGUCAGUAGGUUGGUCGUGCCACCGGUACGUACUGGUCUCACUGAUUCCUCCUUCCUGAAGAACCGUAAUGCCAUUAAUUUGGUGUUGCGGGGAAACAGGACUGUUACUUUGAAAAAAUUAGAGUGUUUAAAGCGAGCGAACGCUUGAAUACAUUAGCAUGGAAUAAUGAAAUAGGACGAUCGAUCCUAUUUUGUUGGUUUCUAGGAUUGACGUA